GACGAACCGUGCGAACGUUGUUCGGAAUCACUGGGCUUAAAGGGCGCGUAGGCGGCUUGCCAAGUCAGGGGUGAAAUCCUGCAGCUUAACUGUAGAAGGGCCUUUGAUACUGGCGAGCUCGAGGGAGGUAGGGGUAUGUGGAACUUCCGGUGGAGCGGUGAAAUGCGUAGAGAUCGGAAAGAACACCAACGGCGAAAGCACUCUGCUGGGCCGACACUGACACUGAGAGACGAAAGCUAGGGGAGCGAAUGGG
rnacentral:rRNA from 1 species